AUGCAUUAUAUUUUUCUGUCACCUUCUAAAUCAAAGCAAAAGCUAAUAGUUUCAUGAUUAAAACAAGGAAAGGAGAUGAAAUCCUAAGAGACAUAGAUAACAAAGAACAAUAACCAAACAAAGGCUAUUAAGCUGUAUAUGACAAAUAGAUUCCAAAUAUAAAGUAGAAAAGGCCUUUGACACACCAAACUUGCCAUCCAAUGGCAGAUAAAUGGUAAUGAAGUUCACAAGGAUCAGUUUUUCAUCCCCACCAAUUUGUACAUCCAAGUGCAAUCAAGAAAACAGUAGCCAACUCGGCUUACGAACCACAGCAAGAUGACUUCUGGGCACCUUGACCAGCAGUUCCUGCCUGAUCGGAUUGGUUGAUCCUGAUUGACUGAGGCUCAGUCUUGGAAUCAGAUUCUGAAAGCCUUUGCUUGAUAUCCUUACCAAUUGAAAAGAAAACUUCUUCGACAUUCAGGUUUGUCUUUGCACUUGUUUCAAAGAACUUAAUGCCAUAUUCAUCAGCAAGAGCUUGACCUUUGGAAGUUGGCACAGCCCUUUUGCUUUCAUCCAUAUCAGCCUUGUUCCCGACCAAAAUCUUGUUGACAUUAUCAGAAGCAUGCUGCUCUAUGUUGCGAAUCCAGUUCCUGAUGUUAUUGAAAGAAGACUCGUCCGUGACAUCAUACACCAGCAGAAUCCCCAUUGCUCCUCGGUAAUACGCUGUUGUGAUAGUGCGGAAACGCUCUUGACCAGCUGUAUCCCAAAU
rnacentral:misc_RNA from 1 species